AGGACGAACGCUGGCGGCGUGCUUAACACAUGCAAGUCGAGCGGAAAGGCCCUUCGGGGUACUCGAGCGGCGAACGGGUGAGUAACACGUGAGCAACCUGCCCUUCACUCUGGAAUAACUACCGGAAACGGUGGCUAAUACCGGAUAUGAGACGUACACGCAUGUGUCGCGUCUGGAAAGAUUUAUCGGUGAAGGAUGGGCUCGCGGCCUAUCAGCUUGUUGGUGGGGUAGUGGCCCACCAAGGCGACG
rnacentral:rRNA from 1 species